UAGUUACCAUCUUCAUCGGAUAAGGCGGACGGUAACCGAGGACACAUCGCCGGACAUUGGCCUCCUCCUUGCCUCGUAGAUAUGUAGGUAGGUGAGAGUGACAACUUGUUUCUUGUUGGCUCCGAUUUGGAAGCUGAUCUACUACAUACUAGCAGUACGUAGGAAUACUGCGACACGGAUGGAAAAGGAAUGGAAGGAUAACAUCAUCUUCAGCUUGAUGGGACUAGUCGGCGUUGGAUGGAAGGCCGGCACGGCCGACAUCGAGGGGUUAUGAAUCUCAAAACAAUUGUGGUUUUGAAUGUUCUUGAAGCAUCUCCUCAACUGCUGAGGUUGAACACUUGAAAAGUAGGAAGGAGGAUAUGAGGAGGAGGAGGCUCAAGAGGAUGGGUCGUUGAUAUAAAUUUUACAGAUAGCAUCUUUAUCUCGGGGCCGUAAAUAUGCUGGUUGGACGGUUCUUGUCUUGGAAGUUUUACCUAAAACCAACAGGUUUUUUAGUUUUUACUCCUGGGAUGAGAACAAAGCAUUCCGUGCGGAAGAAUGGCAUUAAUAAGCAAAUAGUUUCUGAGUUAUGGUUUUGGGAUUAUUGAUUUACGGAAGAAAGCAAUGUUGUGGUUGCCUGCAUCAAUUGGGAGAGAAGUUCUCUUUCUAAAGACUUAAGCGCAGAGUUGUCUUUUUCAAUACCUAUUACCAUAUUGCUUUCAGCUUUCAGUUUCAGUUUUGAAUUACUUCUCAUAUUGAGCUGUCUUCGAAAUGUUGCGUUGGGACCUGGUAUUUACAGCAUUUCUGAAGGGUUUUCCUGACGGUGAAGAUUUGGUCCGUUGUCGACUGGCCAUCGACGAAGCCAGCUUGACAACUUCCCACGAACUCAUUUGCUUUAGGUGACAGACGGUGGAAGAUGAACUUUGAUAUCAUUCCAAAUAGUCGCCCAUGGAUGGCGUAGUAGAUUAGACUACCUCCUUUUUUACUCAUCCGGUAGCUGUUCGAUUUCCCAGGUUCUGAUUAUUCCCAUACCAAGGUGCUCAUCAAAAUACUGCUUUUAUCUUUCAAUCACCCGAAUAUAACAUGAGUUCCGGAAGGAAGCCCAUAGGAAAUUUCAGUAAAACCCUUAAGAGCUGUUCGCGAAUAAAUCUCUGGAGUAAUUUCUCAAGGAAUCUCUAUUGCAAUCUCUUCCACAUUUCUAGAUGAUAGUUUUAGAGAAAUUCUUAGAAUAGAAUAUAACAUUUUAAAAAACUCCUUAGAGGGGCCCCCGGCGACAUUCUUGGCUGAAUCUUCGGUAGAAUUUCUGGAGUAAUCCCAGCAGGAAUUCAUGACGGAGUCCUAAGAGAAAUUCUUGAAAGAAUCUCUGGGAAAAUUUUUAGAUAAAUUUCCGGAUAAAUUCACUAAGUAAUGCUUAGAGGAGAAAUCCCUACAGAAACUCCUAAACAAGUUCCUAGGAAAUUUUUUGAAUGAAUUCCUGGACAAACCCAUGGAGUAACUAUUGGUAAAUUCUCAAAUACAUCAUUGACCUUCUUCGUGCAUUAGCUUGCGCGCACCUCGCCGACCUAGUGCACGUUUAGGGGUCAUAAUGACCCUAAUGCACGAAGAGGGUUAAAGGAGUUCCCAUGGAAAUUCUUAGAAAAAAUCUUGCAUGAAUAUCAGCAAGUAUUUCUGGAGCAAUCCUAGCAAGAGUUCUUGAAGGAAUCAUUAGAAACAUUUCUGGAGGAAUGCUUGCAAAAAUUCUUAGGGAAAUAUCUGAAGGGAUUCUUGUACAAAUCCCAGAAAGAAUUCCUGAAGGAAUUCUGCAAAACCCGUCCAAACAAAAACUAGAAAUUCGAAAUCAAACGCGAAGCACCGCUUGCUUUGUAGUUUUCUUCACGUUCGACCGAACUGUCAUUUUGGGUCGUCUUCUAUGUUGACUAUACCAUGGUGCAGUAAUGCCAAAUGCAUUCGAUAAUGCAUGAUUGGCAUCCUAAAUGUAAUAAUUCAAAAUCUAACGAAAAGUUUUUUUGUCUUUAUUAUAGAGAUUUUGUAACUAAAAGUUCGUAUAAUUAUAAAUUCAGUUUUCAGUUCAUUAUUAUUUAACUCACAAAGGAUGGACCAUUUUUUUAACAUUGCACAAUGGUCCACGAACCAGAUUUACGAGGAAAGAUGCAUUCAGCGCCUUCAAAUGAUUUUCUAGAUUAUUAUGGUCUUCUACAAAGUUGUCCCUAAAAAUAGGGCCCUCUUUUCAAUAUACAUGAAAAUUAGGGUGGUUCAUGUUUUCAAAGAAAUUGGGAACCAAACUUUUUUAUUUGCAGGAAUAACUAUAUACAUUCUUCGAGAUAGUUGUAGAUCUAUCAAUUUUGAGCAACUUUGCUGAAGACACUUUCUAUGUAGCUUUAAAAUUGACCGAUCUAGAGGUAUUUUUCUGAAUAAGCUUAGGGUGGUUCAAGAAAAACCGGUUUUCUGGCGUUAACUUUUUGAUUUUCGAUUUUUCAUCUAAGUCGCCCAAGAAACACUUGUAGAGCAUUUGAAGACGCAUCGUUUCAAGCGGUGAGAUGGUCGUUAUCUCUUUUGGUUCAAAAGUUACAGGCGUUUUUGUAAAAAAAUCAUAGUUUUUAAAAAGGGUUUAUGAUGGGCUGGGGCAAACAUAAAAAAUAUCUUUUGCCCGCAUUCAAAAGAAGAAAUGUUGUUAUAAAACAUAUCAAAUAAUGAGAGGGGUGUUAUUUUUGUAACUCAAGCGAAAAGAACUUGAAAAGUGCCUAUUUUUUCUAGAAAAUCAUCAAUAUCUUUUGAACGGAAUGACGUAGCAACAUUCUCAGCGCACGAAAAUGCGCGUUUUUGUAAGCUCUAAGCAUUUUAAAAACUAUGAUUUUUUUUUAGAAAAACGCCUGUUACUUUUGAACCAAAAGAGAUAACGACCAUCUCAGCGCACGAAACGACGCGUCUUCAAAUGAACUACAAGUGUUUCUUGGGCGACUUUGAUGAAAAAUCAAAAAUCAAAAAGUUAACGCCAGAAAACCGGUUUUUAUUGAACCACCCUAAGCUUAUUCAGAAAAAUAUCUCUAAAUCGAUCAAUUUUAAAGCUACAUAAAAAGUGUCUUAAGCAAAGUUGUUCAAAAUUGAUAGAUCUACAACUUUCCCGAAGAAUGUAUACGGUUAUUCUUGCAAAUAAAAAAGUUUGGUUACCAAUUUCAUCGAAAAUAUGGACCACCCUAUUUUUCAUGCACAUUGGAAAGAGGGCCUUAUUAUUAGGAACAAUUUUGUAGAAGACCAUAGUUUCCUAAAAACUCAUUUAAAGGCGUUGAAUGCAUCUUUCCUCGUAAAUCUGGUUCGUGGACCACUGUGCAUUGGAUCUUCAGCGUGAAGAUGCGCCUUGAUUCGGUAGGCGUGUUGAAGAAUUUGAUAGAUAAUGCCCCAGAUGUCGCGACGGGGAUGUUUAAGCGGUUUAAGCUCGAAGAAGCAGGCCGGAAGGCGAAGACAUUUAUAGUAAGUUUCCUGGCCAAUCUCUUCUUGCGAAACGGUUAGUGAGCUCCAUGGCAACCGCAUCAAACAAACGGUUGCAUGUGAAGGAAGCCCAGACAAUCAGGCAUCGCAUAAGGAUGCACGCUGUAAAUCCUAUAAAGUACUAUUUUAAGUCACUAUCGCAUAUAUGUACGGCUGAGGGAUAAUUUUCAUCGCAUAUAAUGUUAUUUCUUGAACUUACUGCGAUGUAUCUGGUAAAAUCAUAUAAGAGUGCAAAUUAACUUUCAUAGUGCAUGACUACAUCGUAGUAGACGAUAUUCCGAUGUUUUGUUGCGACGAACUUUGCUUAUUCGCAAAAGCGUGCGAGUGAACUCGCAAAGUGUCAAUUGAAUUCGCAUAAUUGCGUACUACGAUGAUUAUACGACUUCGCUUGGUGCUUUUCUAAUUAUGACAGUUUAACUCGCAUUGGUGUACAAACUAAAUCAUAUAAAAGUGAAAAUAAACUCGUUCAAAUGUACAUACAAACUCGCAUAAGCUAGAAUCGUUAACGUUGGCAUAUUGCGAUGUGAUAUGUGAUAACAAUGAAAGAGGUGCUGUUGGAGUGCCAAAAAGCUGAAAGAAAGUGAAAAGUCAUCAUUAUGGUUACAAAACAAGUUACAAAGUCAUCAUUUUUGUUUUGUUGACCUUAUAAUUAACAAUGAGUGGUGAUGAGUGGUGCUAGCAAGAGAGGAGUAGUGGUAACUGCGCGGGAAAUCAUGCUAGGCUCAGUGUACCAGUUAUGGCUAUAGUACCUCAAAUUCGUCAUAGUUGAUUUUCAACCUUUAAAGAUACAAAUCAACAAGAAAAAAUUUGUGAAAAACAGAUCACGAUCACAAAAGAUGAUUGCAAUCAUUCAAACUUCACAAUUUGCUCAAAUUAUGGUAGAAAUAAAUCAUUUUCCUUAACUUUUCGGCCUCCUUGCACCCUAUUUCGCCAUAGUGUACCAGUUAUGGCAAAUCCCAUAAGGAAUGCAUGUAAAUAGUGCGAAGUGGAACCCAAAUUAACAAAUGUGUCCAUAACUGGUACAGGGUUCCUAUCAUUGGCACACGCCGUAAUAAAUACUAAAAGUGGUUUUGGUUCCGUUUUUAUAUUUUUCCUGUGAAGUAUGAAAACUAAUCAAUCAUUUGACUUAUUGUUUACAUUCGUCGGUCUUCUUCUUAUUUUUGUAGAAAUAGUUUUUCUUAGGUAGUGCGAUAACUGGUACAGGCACCCUACAUCAUUUUGAUUUCCAAAGAGCAUGCCGAACACGUACAGCGCACGGAAACCAAGUGCAUUCCAACAAGCACUGAGGUGAGUUAGAAUGUCAUGACAUUUAAUCAGUGUGUUUCAUAAGUAGUGUUUGGUGCUAAGUGUGAAGUGCGGCUCGAUAAUCCAAUUCGAUACUUAGGUGACAAGAUUUUUUUAUUUCGAAUAUGUUUAAGUCGCAUAAGGUGCUAUAUUACGUCGCAAUAGAGCAUACCGUACAUCGCAUAAGAUAUCGCUUCAAUUCAUAUAGCGUCAUUAUUUUCCCGUCAAUGCACGUAUAGCGCCUCUACUUUUGUACGCAUAAGGCACUUUUACUGCAUCUUAUGCGAUGUAACUUUACCGCAUAAAAGUACGUAUAACAUGAACAUAAACUUCAUUAUACGUGCAAAUUGGUUGUCUGGGAGUGCUGUACAUCCCGGAGUUGCGCAACAGUUUGAUGUCCGUGAAGAAGCACGUCACGGCCGGCGUGCAGGUAAACUUCGUCGAAAAGGUCGCAAUAUUGAAGAAAGACGGGGGCUUACGGAGUGAGGGCGCGGACUGUACGAGCUGGAGAUUGACCUGGAAUGCCCAACCAUGAACUUGUGCAUGUCGGAGACAGAUGAGCUCUGGUACAUGCGGAUUGGACAAUCAAGCGAGCAAGGAAUGAAGUCGAUGACAUCGAAUAACCUGGUGACUGGUGCUGAAUUUCGUGAAGGCAAGCUGAAUACCUGCGACGCAAUGCCACGACCCUUUCAGCGGAUCUCGUGAUAGAUAGAACGACCAGGCCCCUGGAAAGGAUCCACUCGGACGUAUGUGGUCCCAUCGACCACGAUUGGGACGAAUUCCGGUACUUUGUGAGCCUCACCUCGGAGGAAGUCCGAGGUCUGCAGCAUGUUCCAGGAAUAAGAAGCCAUCGCGACGGCGAAGUUCGGCUUGACAAUUGCAAGUUUAACGGUGGAACAAUGAACAAGGUCGUGAGUAUGGCUCAAAUGCACAAAACCGAUUUCUAUUCUAGAAAAAGCAUCCAAGUCUAACCUUGAGUCGGUGGCGCAUACGCCACAGCAGAAUUGCGGAAAGGUUCAACCGAACUGUGGUCAAAAAGGUCCCCUCCAUGCUGGUCGAGCAGAGCCCUCCCAAGAUUAUGUGGCCCGAAGCAGUCCUCCUUACCUGAUAUGUUAGCAACCGUGCUUGGUAUGUUAGCAACCGUGCUUGAAGAAACUUCUGUUCGGGUGUAAAGCCUACGUCUAGAUACCAGAUCAACAAUGCAAGAAGUGCAAUGCGAGGUGCCGGGACACCGUGAUGGUUGGAUAUGCUUCAAUUGGCUAUCGAUUGUGGGAUUGUGGGAUUUAUCACUGAAAGGCAGUUGGCUUCAACCGUGAGGUUCAAGAAGGAACUUUCUGCCGUAUUCAAGAUGACCAACUGCGGGAAGGUCAACUACUUCUUGUGCUUUUGCAAGAGGCCCAGUAACGAAGAUCCUGCAGUAAUUCAAAAAGGUUAACUGCGAUUAUUGCUAAACCCUGAUGGAGAAAGGAUUCCAACUGAAUCGUGACGGACCAUUGUCGAAGGAACCAUAUAGAGAGCUGUUGGGUAGUCACACUAUAAUGUGUACACCAUGUUGUGUGUGCGUCCGGACAUUAGCUACUCGGUAAGCUACAUGAGUCGUUUCCAGCAGAAUCCUGCCAUUAUCAAUGGUAGACGUUGAAGCGGAUCAUACGAUACCUGCAAGAGACGCAGGGGUUCUGCUUGGAAUACAGACGUGAAGAAGCUGCAGAACCGCUGGAGAGAUUUGCAAUCGCAGACUGGGCAGCGGAUACCGAGGAUCGAAAAUCCGUUAGUUGCUUCUUGUUCAAGGUCUUCGGAGCAACCAUGUCAUGGUCGAGCAAGAAGCAAACGACGCGACGGUGGCAACACUUCAAGCGAAGCCAACACGUUGCCUUAAGUGCAGCAGCAUCCGAUGUGGUUAACUGUCAUCCUCGUAGACCUGAAGUUAACGGUGAAGCCCGUCAUUAUAUCCAAAUAGAACCUGUGAGCACCCAGGACCAACUUGCGGAUCUGUUUGUGGUACCUUGUGGUAUGCACAUAAUAAAUUAUUGUAUUACUCUAUUACGUUUAGCGUGUAUGUUUACAUUGAGUAUCUGUCAUAUGCGGAGAUAUUGUUAUUGUUGUCUGGAGUGUGAAUCAUUGUAUGUAAUAUUGAAGUAUCGGUAAUAAAGUGUAUACAAAUAAUGAAUACAGUUGUUGAAUAAUCAUUACAGAGAAAGAUUCUCACAUUGGCGACGAGAACGGUGAACAGUGCAUGUGAAAUUAGUUUAAUUUCGGUUCGGGAAGUGUUGUCUUUGGAAAAAGAAUGAGAUGAGUGGUGUGUGUGUGUGUGUGUGUGUGUGUGUGUGUGUGUGUGUGUGUGGUGCAUGCAGAGUGGUGAUGACCUCCAGGUGAUGACUUGUGAAUGAAUUUCAACAUUGAAAUCAAAAAGGUACAACCACAAGUAACGGCCAAGUAAUUUACCAAAAUGCCGAGCAGAGAUGGAUGACCAAAUGGAUGGCUGUACUUCUAAUUCUGAUGUGAGACUGAAGCGAGACGUUCAUAAACUGAGGAGACUAUAAGCGAAACAACGUGGAGUGACCUUGCUACGGAUCUGGAGAAAAAACGAGAUGUGGUACCUUGUGGUAUGCACAUAAUAAAUUAUUGUAUUACUCUAUUACGUUUAGCGUGUAUGUUUACAUUGAGUAUCUGUCAUAUGCGGAGAUAUUGUUAUUGUUGUCUGGAGUGUGAAUCAUUGUAUGUAAUAUUGAAGUAUCGGUAAUAAAGUGUAUACAAAUAAUGAAUACA